rnacentral:lncRNA from 1 species
GUAGGUUGGGGAGUGCUAGCAGUUGAUGCAGCCUGAGUGCUAAAUAACCUACCAUAUAGGCACAAUCUUUCACUAGAACGCUGAGCUAAAACAGUUCUUUGCAGAGAAAGUAGGCCCUUUAUAGGUGCCUGUUAGAAGAACAUGCCACACAUCAGUAAUUUUACCCUCAUAAGAGGCGAGAUUGAGCAAGCAUAACUACAAAGUUAAAAAAUAGUAUUGUACUGCACUAAGUAAGUGAUGGGUCUCAGUCUUAACUGACCUAGUUGAUCAUCCACAACCCACCUAUUUUCCCAGGCUUCGGAUGGAGUACACUUUUCUAAACUCGCAAAAGCAGAGUUGAUAGAUUGCAAACAUAAGAUCAAGAGAGUAACAGUAACACCUCAAAAUUAUUCAAGAAAUAGAUUGUUAAUACCUGACCUAAGGGAAUCGGGUAAAAGGGGAUGAAACCAAAAAAAAAACUUUUGACGUGCAUGAUCCAUGUCCUGGGGAGAGGAAGAGGAGAAAAAUCUGAUGCAAGACAUCUCACGCUAAUUCUAUUCAAAAUUUAGGUACUAAUUUAAUUCACACCCACCUCUCCAAAAAAAAUACGUAAGUAGAGUAAAAAAAUUUUCUUUUCCCAAAAAAAAAAAAAAGAAGCUUACCUUGAAAGUGCUUAAUUCCAAAUACAGGGGCAGACUACAUAGAUUCCUUAUUAAUCUAUAUACAUAGUAACUCACUCUAAACUCCAAAAGUAAAAAACACACACAAAGAAAGAAAAGAAGCUACUGGGUAUAUGAAUUUAAGAUCUCAAAAUAUGAACUUGCAUAAGCUAUAGCAUACUCAAAUCUCAAAAAAAUAACCCAAAAAUCAUCAACAAAAACAGAUCAAUGAAGCAACAGCUCUCCUCGAUAACCUAUCCAACCACCAAAUAAGAACAAAGGCAAUACUCAAAUACUCCAUCAUCUAGGGUUUCUCAUCAUUCUUCUUUAUAAGGAAUACGAUUGGACAAUGCGAAUCAGUUAAAUUAACCUUAAUACACAUCUCUUAAACUGUAAAAUUUGCAAUAGAAGUUUAAAAAAAGGAACAAACCAGUGACGCAUCAAAAUGCAGCUAAAGCAUUUUUUUACAAACAAAAUUUCAUUUUCGAUUUUGGCAUCGGAAAAAAAGUAGAGAAAGAUAUACAUCGAAUAAGGGAAUUACCAUGAAUGUUGAAGCAGAAAUGUGAUAAAUAGGUGAAAUUCAGCUGAUUCUCUAACAGAUUAGGGUGAGAUUGAAGCUUUCUCUUUCUCAAAAAACGAAGAAAAAAAAGGAGAACGAAGCUGUUGUAAC